UACGGAGGGUGCAAGCGUUGCUCGGAAUUAUUGGGCGUAAAGGGCAGGUAGGUGGUCUCAUUUGUCUGGGGUGAAAGCCUUGAGCUUAACUCAAGAAGUGCCCCAGAAACGGUGAGACUGGAGUCCUAGAGAGGGUCGUGGAAUUCCCGGUGUAGCGGUGAAAUGCGUAGAGAUCGGGAGGAACACCAGAGGCGACGGCGGCGACCUGGAUAGGUACUGACACUCAACUGCGAAAGCGUGUGGAGCAAACAGG
rnacentral:rRNA from 1 species